UUCGGAAUAACUCAGGGAAACUUGAGCUAAUACCGGAUAAUGACGUAAGUCCAAAGAUUUAUCGCCGAGGGAUGAGCCCGCGUAGGAUUAGCUAGUUGGUGAGGUAAAGGCUCACCAAGGCUACGAUCCUUAGCUGGUCUGAGAGGAUGAUCAGCCACACUGGGACUGAGACACGGCCCAGACUCCUACGGGAGGCAGCAGUGGGGAAUAUUGGACAAUGGGCGAAAGCCUGAUCCAGCAAUGCCGCGUGAGUGAUGAAGGCCUUAGGGUUGUAAAGCUCUUUUACCCGGGAUGAUAAUGACAGUACCGGGAGAAUAASCUCCGGCUAACUCCGUGCCAGCAGCCGCGGUAAUACGGAGGGAGCUAGCGUUGUUCGGAAUUACUGGGCGUAAAGCGCACGUAGGCGGCUUUGUAAGUUAGAGGUGAAAGCCCGGAGCUCAACUCCGGAACUGCCUUUAAGACUGCAUCGAUUGAAUCCAGGAGAGGUGAGUGGAAUUCCCGAGAGAAGAGGUGAAAUUCGUAGAUAUUCGGAAGAACACCAGUGGGCGAAGGCGGCUCACUGGACUGGUAUUGAC
rnacentral:rRNA from 1 species